UACGGGGGGGGCAAGCGUUGUUCGGAAUUACUGGGCGUAAAGGGUUCGUAGGUGGCCAACUAAGUCAGACGUGAAAUCCCUCGGCUCAACCGGGGAACUGCGUCUGAUACUGGUUGGCUUGAGUGCAGGAGAGGAACGCGGAAUUCCAGGUGUAGCGGUGAAAUGCGUAGAUAUCUGGGGGAACACCGGUGGCGAAGGCGGCGUUCUGGACUGCAACUGACACUGAGGAACGAAAGCCAGGGGAGCAAACGGG
rnacentral:rRNA from 1 species